UGAACGCUGGCGGCAGGCCUAACACAUGCAAGUCGGACGGUAGCACAGAGAGCUUGCUCUCGGGUGACGAGUGGCGGACGGGUGAGUAAUGUCUGGGAAACUGCCCGAUGGAGGGGGAUAACUACUGGAAACGGUAGCUAAUACCGCAUAACGUCUUCGGACCAAAGUGGGGGACCUUCGGGCCUCACACCAUCGGAUGUGCCCAGAUGGGAUUAGCUAGUAGGUGGGGUAAUGGCUCACCUAGGCGACGAUCCCUAGCUGGUCUGAGAGGAUGACCAGCCACACUGGAACUGAGACACGGUCCAGACUCCUACGGGAGGCAGCAGUGGGGAAUAUUGCACAAUGGGCGCAAGCCUGAUGCAGCCAUGCCGCGUGUAUGAAGAAGGCCUUCGGGUUGUAAAGUACUUUCAGCGGGGAGGAAGGCGAUGGAGUUAAUAGCUUCAUCGAUUGACGUUACCCGCAGAAGAAGCACCGGCUAACUCCGUGCCAGCAGCCGCGGUAAUACGGAGGGUGCAAGCGUUAAUCGGAAUUACUGGGCGUAAAGCGCACGCCAGGCGGUCUGUCAAGUCGGAUGUGAAAUCCCCGGGCUUAACCUGGGAACUGCAUUCGAAACUGGCAGGCUAGAGUCUUGUAGAGGGGGGUAGAAUUCCAGGUGUAGCGGUGAAAUGCGUAGAGAUCUGGAGGAAUACCGGUGGCGAAGGCGGCCCCCUGGACAAAGACUGACGCUCAGGUGCGAAAGCGUGGGGAGCAAACAGGAUUAGAUACCCUGGUAGUCCACGCCGUAAACGAUGUCGACUUGGAGGUUGUGCCCUUGAGGCGUGGCUUCCGGAGCUAACGCGUUAAGUCGACCGCCUGGGGAGUACGGCCGCAAGGUUAAAACUCAAAUGAAUUGACGGGGGCCCGCACAAGCGGUGGAGCAUGUGGUUUAAUUCGAUGCAACGCGAAGAACCUUACCUACUCUUGACAUCCAGCGAAUUCGGUAGAGAUACCUUAGUGCCUUCGGGAACGCUGAGACAGGUGCUGCAUGGCUGUCGUCAGCUCGUGUUGUGAAAUGUUGGGUUAAGUCCCGCAACGAGCGCAACCCUUAUCCUUUGUUGCCAGCGGUCCGGCCGGGAACUCAAAGGAGACUGCCAGUGAUAAACUGGAGGAAGGUGGGGAUGACGUCAAGUCAUCAUGGCCCUUACGAGUAGGGCUACACACGUGCUACAAUGGCGCAUACAAAGAGAAGCGACCUCGCGAGAGCAAGCGGACCUCAUAAAGUGCGUCGUAGUCCGGAUUGGAGUCUGCAACUCGACUCCAUGAAGUCGGAAUCGCUAGUAAUCGUAGAUCAGAAUGCUACGGUGAAUACGUUCCCGGGCCUUGUACACACCGC
rnacentral:rRNA from 1 species